AUGUGCUCUCAGGUCACACGCCAGAGGCUCUUGUCAUUCUGGAGAAGAGCAGAGGUUAGUAGCAUGCGCUGUGAAAGCUCCACUUGGAAAACCAUCACAAGAAAGAGAUGCACUCAGAAAGGGAAAGCCAGCAUGCAGGCAGCAAUCUUAAGGAAGAGAGUCCAGACAUUCUCCACUCUGCAUGGUUGCCGUGGAAAGAACCAGAGUGCUAAGGCAUUACUGAGAGGAAAGUGACCCAGCUUACAGCAACUUGUCCAUCAGCAAGAAAUAAAAUUGCCAGGUGUUAAAGCACUGAAACUUUAAGACUGUUACAGCCACUCACAUGAAUUACACUGACUCAAUUUUCUAUAUAGGUACUAGUUACAGCAAGUAGAAAGUACAAUAGGGGGAAAAAAAGAUUCCAGUCACAGUAACGAGAGGAACAGAAAGCCUAGACAUGCAUCUGACAAGAAAUGUGCAAGAACUGUAUUCAAAUACCUGUGAAGGUUCCCAAGUUUCCCAAACUUGGUCUGCAUAUUCAAUGCAAUCCUCAUCAAAAUUACAACAGUAUGUUUUUAGAACCUGACACACUGAUUCCCACAUUCAUCCGGUGGAGUAAAUAAAUGCAAAAAAACUAAUAAAAUUCUGAUUUAAAACACACAAUUAAGGGAAAUAGGCCAGACAUCAAAACAUAUUGUCUUGUUAUAGAAAUUAACAUAAUGUGUUUAUGGAGGAAAGGACAAAUAAAUCAAUAGAACGGAACAGAAAAUCUAGACAUAUCACUAAGGUGGCAUUUUUAAAUCAGUGUAGAAAAAUGAUUUCCUCCAUGUAUUCAAUGGUUUUCAAGUAAACGGCCAUCCAUUAAGGAGAAACAAAAUUAGAUAUACCAUGACCAAAAGUAAAUUCGCAAUGAUUUUGAAAGAAUGGAAUAAAAUAUCAAAAUAACUUCAUAAUCUUAUGAUGGGGAAGGAUUCUCCCAGCUAGUCAUAAAAUUCAGAAGUCAAAGGAAACACUACCUGAACAUUUAAAACACGCCUGUGACCAAAGAACACCAUAAAAAAGGGGAAAUUAGAAAAAAUGAGAGAAAAUAUUUGCAACAUAUACCAUAGGCUAAAGAUUGAUAUUCAGGGUAUGUGUUUAAAAAUCGCCAACUACUCAAGAAGAUGAAAACAACCCAAGAGGGAAAUGAGUAACAUUACGAACCAGUGAAAAAGAACGAAUUCUGAUAGUAGGUUCUGAUAUGUUAAGGUUUUGAAGAUUGUUAGAAAAACCAUGAAGGGCUGUGGAACAUGUAAAGUAGAAUCGCGUUUACAUUUGACAGUUGUGUGUGUGAGUAUGUAUGGAUGUGUUCGCGUGUUUGUGUGUGUGACAGCAUGCGUGAGUGUGUGUGAGUGUGCAUGUAAGUGCACGUGAAGGCACAGAAAAGGAUCUAGAGAGAAACAGGCAGGAUUGUUAAUAGUGGCUCCUUCUAGGGAGGAAACUGUCAGGGGUCACUUAAAGGAGAAAAUGGCAUUUAUGGUUUAUUCUAAAGUCUACACACAAAAAAAAUAUUGUUUUUAAUUGCAUAGAGAAUUGUUGCAUGCAUAUGUACAUACUUUUAACAGACUUUAUUUUUCAGAGCAGUUCUACGUUUGCAGCACAAUUGGGCAGAAGGUACAGAGAGUUCUCAUAUACCUGUACCCCGCACCCAGCCAGCCUCUCCCAGUAUCAGCACCUUGCACCAGAUCGGUACAGUCGUGACAGCUGGUGGACCCACAGUGAUGCAUCCUAAUCACCCAGAUCCAUAGUUUACACCAGGAUUCACGAUUGGAAUUAUACAUGCUG
rnacentral:lncRNA from 1 species